rnacentral:rRNA from 1 species
UACGUAGGUGGCAAGCGUUAUCCGGAAUUAUUGGGCGUAAAGGGAGCGCAAGCGGCACGGCAAGCCUGAUGUGAAAGCCCGCGGCCCAACCGCGGGACUGCAUUGGGAACUACCGGGCUGGAGUGCCGGAGAGGUAGGCGGAAUUCCUAGUGUAGCGGUGAAAUGCGUAGAUAUUAGGAGGAACACCAGUGGCGAAGGCGGCCUACUGGACGGUGACUGACGCUGAGGCUCGAAAGCGUGGGGAGCAAACAGG